UGGGGAAUAUUGCACAAUGGGCGCAAGCCUGAUGCAGCAACGCCGCGUGAACGAUGAAGGUCUUCGGAUCGUAAAGUUCUGUUGCAGGGGAAGAUAAUGACGGUACCCUGUGAGGAAGCCCCGGCUAACUACGUGCCAGCAGCCGCGGUAAUACGUAGGGGGCUAGCGUUAUCCGGAUUUACUGGGCGUAAAGGGUGCGUAGGUGGUCUUUCAAGUCGGUGGUUAAAGGCUACGGCUCAACCGUAGUUAGCCUCCGAAACUGGAAGACUUGAGUGCAGGAGAGGAAAGUGGAAUUCCCAGUGUAGCGGUGAAAUGAGUAGAUAUUGGGAGGAACACCAGUAGCGAAGGCGGCUUUCUGGACUGCAACUGACACUGAGGCACGAAAGAGUGGGUAGCAAACAGG
rnacentral:rRNA from 1 species